rnacentral:rRNA from 1 species
AGUGAACGCUGGCGGUAGGCCUAACACAUGCAAGUCGAACGGCAGCACAGUAAGAGCUUGCUCUUACGGGUGGCGAGUGGCGGACGGGUGAGGAAUACAUCGGAAUCUACUUUUUCGUGGGGGAUAACGUAGGGAAACUUACGCUAAUACCGCAUACGACCUACGGGUGAAAGCAGGGGAUCUUCGGACCUUGCGCGAUUGAAUGAGCCGAUGUCGGAUUAGCUAGUUGGCGGGGUAAAGGCCCACCAAGGCGACGAUCCGUAGCUGGUCUGAGAGGAUGAUCAGCCACACUGGAACUGAGAAACGGUCCAGAAUCCUAAGGGAGGCAGCAGUGGGGAAUAUUGGACAAUGGGCGCAAGCCUGAUCCAGCCAUACCGCGUGGGUGAAGAAGGCCUUCGGGUUGUAAAGCCCUUUUGUUGGGAAAGAAAAGCAGCAGGUUAAUACCCCGCUGUUCUGACGGUACCCAAAGAAUAAGCACCGGCUAACUUCGUG